rnacentral:rRNA from 1 species
UACGUAGGGUGCGAGCGUUGUCCGGAAUUACUGGGCGUAAAGAGCUCGUAGGUGUUUGUCGCGUUGUUCGUGAAAACUCACAGCUCAACUGUGGGCGUGCGGGCGAUACGGGCAGACUGGAGUACUGCAGGGGAGACUGGAAUUCCUGGUGUAGCGGUGGAAUGCGCAGAUAUCAGGAGGAACACCGGUGGCGAAGGCGGGUCUCUGGGCCGAUACUGACGCUGAGGAGCGAAAGCGUGGGGAGCGAACAGG